GAAUUGGGAAUGGGUGGACCCCUUGCUUGCUGUUCCCUCUCAGUGCAAAGUUUUUUCCAAACAGGCUCAAUGUGUGAUGACACCGAGCUGUGUGACCUGCCUGGAUUUCACCUUUGGGGCUGUGAUUAAUAGUAAUUCAACUAGUGGGCCUGCUCAUUGAUCUCUCCCCUCCUGUCGCAGAACCAUGAUGGUAGUAUCGACUUCCGCGAGUAUGUGAUCGGCCUGGCCGUCUUGUGCAACCCUGCCAACACAGAGGACAUCAUCCAGGUGGCAUUUAAGCUCUUUGAUCUUGAUGAGGAUGGCUACAUAACAGAGGAAGAGUUUACCACCAUUUUGCAGGCCGCCCUUGGGGUGCCCGACCUGGAUGUUUCUGGUCUCUUCAAGGAGAUAGCCCAGGGGGAUUCUGUUUCCUAUGAGGAAUUUAAAAGUUUUGCCCUAAAGCAUCCAGAAUAUGCUAAAAUAUUUACGACCUACCUAGACUUCCAGACGUGCCAUGUGUUCUCAUUACCAAAUGAAGUCCAGCCAGCUCCCCUGGUCGCCAGUAACAAAGUCAGCCCUGAAAAUCAUGACGAGAGUACCUCAGACAAAAAAGAUGACUGAAAGCAAAUAUUCGCAAUAAGGGAAGGCUUUUACCUGAAAUUGCAAAAGGAUUUGUUGAUAGUUGUUUUCAAAAUGAUUUCUGAGUAAUGAUGAUGUUUAAAAUGGAGAGCUUUUUUUAAAAUAAAAAUAAUAGAUUUUCUUAUUAAAAUGCUUUUAUCCACAUAUGUAUAUUAUUAAUAUUCCCUUUCUUUGAUGUUAUAUUGUGCUGUACCGAUUAGUUUCCUGGUGAUAAAUAUGUUUUUAUGGAUUUUCCAGUUUAAUUUGCAAAUGCAAAUGAAUGAAAUGGUCUCACUUAUUUACCAAUGAGCAUUAAUCAAUGCUGCAAAGAGUUUUAAAAAGUGCAAACACUUUUUAAUCUACUUCCCUCUAAAGACGUGAAGUAAUAGUGUUAUCUCGAAUCCCUUCCCAUUCGGGAAAUAAGAACAUUGCAGGAUUUUAUGCCUCUAACUUCACAGAUGUAUUAUUUCAUUUCUGGUUCAGUUUCUUGGAUCACUGAAUAUGAUGGAUUGGAAGGGAGAGCUCCCAUUAAUUCGAUGAGACUUCUUAGAGCUCAUAUUCUCUUUAUUGCAGAUUUCCUCUUACCCACCUGCUAAGGAAAUUAUAUAGUUGUGCAUGAUCUACAGUUUAGAAUUUUGUGUUAAAGAGCAAGGCUAUGGCCAAAGGCUAAGUGGGAAUUGCCUUAUUGCAGGUAACCUUGACUGCCUGAUGAGAACAUGAAUCACAUGCCACAGAAUCUAGUCUAAGUUGGAUGGUUCAGAAUGUAGGGCUUACCCACUAACUGGGUCAGAUUCGCUCCAUUUAUUACAGAGUAUUAGAAUUAACGCAUUUUACCAUCCAAGUGGGAGUUUUAUUUUGUUAAGCGUCCUCUCAGAUUUUAGAGCUCGCCUGAGAUAUCUACAGGGAAAACACAAAAGGUUCCAAAGUAUCGAAAGCUAGGGAAUCCAAAAACAAAAACCUACUUAUUUAGGGGAGGCAGCAACUUAACCCCCUGGCAACCCCCUAGCAAUGACAUCUAUCCUUCAGGGGAGGCAAUAAUUUCCCCCAAGUGCCAUUUUUAUUGGAUGUCACGCAUCAUACCUAUUGUUAAUGUCGCCCACGUUUGAAAUUUUGAACAAAGAACCAAUUUCUAUAAUAUAAUGUACAAAAAAUAGCUGGUUCAUUUCUGAAUUCCGUCUUUGAAUUUGAUCUCUUUGUCUUGGCUGUGUUUCUGAAUAUAUUGCCGAUUUACCCCCAAACUCAUUUUUUAAAGCCAUUUGUGAAGGUGGGAAGUGUCACGAGAGGUGAGUCAUCAUUUCAAACUAGUUUUACACAUUAGGCUGUGAGUGUUCUAAUUUAAUGAGUGAAUUUGGAAAUUGCGUACUAAAAUGUGUUAUCCGUCAGUGUAUAGGAUUGUUUGCUUUUUCUAUGUCUUAAAGCUGAAAACAGUUGCUUAAGUAAUUAGAAAAGUACCUCUCUAUAAUAGUGUCUGCAUAUGCAGCGGAAUGGAUGUACUACUCAGGUACCCUGAUUGCUUUUUAUCAUAGAAAAGCUACGUAUUACUACUAUUAAUUAUGAAAAAGUAGCAUUGUAAAUUGGAAGUUUUCUAUGAGGCUCUUGAAAACGAUCCCCUUGUUUUCCCAUUUUAAAAUAGUAUCUUAUGCUCCUUAAGUCCACUUCUGCCAGUGCAAUAUUCCUAUUUUAUUAUGUUACUUGAAUAAACAAACUUGCCACAUAAAAUUCUUGGCAAUUAAAAAA